CGUGUUUCUCAAAAACAUCACUUAUAUGAGGACAAAAUAGUCUUUUAUGCAAAACUUGAUCCAGUUGGAAGAAGGCGGCCACAUGGCAACCGCUAACUGGCUCUUGACCCUUCACACGAGUAAUGCUAAUUUAAACCAGAUCUGGACCAUUGGUUUUAAAUUAACGGCUGAGAUUGAUCAUCCUUUUCUAAAGACUUCUGGAAGGGGACGGUCGAGUCACUUCUUCUGUCUUUGGGUUUUUGAGAGACUUUUGAUUUUUUUUCUCCCUCUGAGUUGCUCUGAUUUUCUCUCUUCAUCUCCUUUUGGUUUUUCUUUCAAGAUCUCUCAAGAGAUCCAAAUCUUUACUGAAAACCUGUGUGAAUGAUGUUGCUAUAAUAACUUCUUUGGCUUGUGAAAAAAGCUGGUAACCUUUACAUUGGUUAGAUGUGGUUUUCAGUGUUUAGGUUACAAUAGAGCUUACGAUUUGGGAGAUCCACUUGGAUCAAUGACCAUAUCGUGUUCUGAUUUGAGUCUUGGAAUUUGUAAUCUCUCUUGGAUGUCUUUUGUGCACUAGCAGUGGGUUGAUCUCUGAGCCCCCAGAGUAGGCAUUAUUGCCUGAACUGGGUGAACAAUUUUGGUGUUGAUUUUCUUUUUUUCUUGCGUACUUGGCUAUUUUCAUUCUUGUUUAAUUGCCGUUUUUAGGGACAAAAUCCCUAACAGAAAAGAUUGAACUUGUGCAUCAGAUUGUUUCCAUGUUUCGCCAAAUUCAGCCAUGGAAUCUCCAUUGAAUAUAAAUUGCAUUUUAGUCCCUUCGUUUUUCUCUAUUUUUCUCUCAAAACCUUAUUUAAAGCAAAAUAAACAACAAUUAACAUUCAACAAUAAAAUUAACCCAAAAUUAUGCUACAAUUAUUCAAAAAGAAUUUCUUUAUUGAAG
rnacentral:lncRNA from 1 species